GAUGAACGCUGGCGGCGUGCCUAAUACAUGCAAGUCGAGCGGAAGUUGAAGAGCUUGCUCUUCAACUUUAGCGGCGGACGGGUGAGUAACACGUGGGCAACCUGCCCUGCAGAUCGGGAUAACUCCGGGAAACCGGUGCUAAUACCGAAUAGUUUUCGCCACCUCCUGGUGGCGUACGGAAAGACGGUUUCGGCUGUCACUGCAGGAUGGGCCCGCGGCGCAUUAGCUAGUUGGUGGGGUAACGGCCCACCAAGGCGACGAUGCGUAGCCGACCUGAGAGGGUGAUCGGCCACACUGGGACUAAGACACGGCCCAGACUCCUACGGGAGGCAGCAGUAGGGAAUCUUCCGCAAUGGACGAAAGGCUGACGGAGCAACGCCGCGUGGGUGACGAAGGUUUUCGGAUCGUAAAACUCUGUUGUGAGGGAAGAACAAGUACCACUUAACUACUGGUACCUUGACGGUACCUCACCAGAAAGCCACGGCUAACUACGUGCCAGCCGCCGCAGUAA
rnacentral:rRNA from 1 species